rnacentral:rRNA from 1 species
UACGUAGGUGGCAAGCGUUGUCCGGAAUUAUUGGGCGUAAAGGAUGCGUAGGUGGUUCUUUAAGUGGGAUGUGAAAUCCCUGGGCUUAACCCAGGAAUUGCAUUCCAAACUGGAGGACUAGAGUGCAGGAGAGGAAAGUGGAAUUCCCAGUGUAGCGGUGAAAUGCGUAGAGAUUGGGAGGAACACCAGUGGCGAAGGCGGCUUUCUGGACUGUAACUGACACUGAGGCAUGAAAGCGUGGGGAGCAAACAGG